rnacentral:rRNA from 1 species
GACGAACGCUGGCGGCGUGCUUAACACAUGCAAGUCGAACGGAAAGGCCUGCUUUCCCUUGUGGAUUGCGGGUACUCGAGUGGCGAACGGGUGAGUAACACGUGAGUGAUCUGCCCCCAACUUGGGUAUAAGCCUGGGAAACUGGGUCUAAUUCCCGAUAGGACUGCAGGGUGGUGCCUGUGGUGGAAAACGAUUUUCUCGUGGUUGGGGAUGAGCUCGCGGCCUAUCAGCUUGUUGGUGGGGUAAUGGCCUACCAAGGCGGCGACGGGUAGCCGGCCUGAGAGGGUGGACAGCCACAUUGGGACUGGGAUACGGCCCAGACGCCUACGGGAGGCAGCAGUGGGGAAUAUUGCACAGUGGGCGGAAGCCUGAUGCGGCGACGCCGCGUGGGGGAUGACGGCCUUGGGGUUGUAAACUCCUUUCGACCGCGGGGAAGCCACCUGGUUGGAAGGGUGGUGACGGUAGUGGUAGAAGAAGCACCGGCUAACUACGUG